AGGAAAAGAUUUAAUAUAAUUUUUUGAUUAAUAAAUCAAAUUCUUUUACAUAUUUUAUAAUAAUAACACAAGUUUUUUUCAUAUACAAGAUGACUUGCUAACGCUGUAACCAAUGACCUAUUUCAUCAGUUAAGACACUUUCUCUUUACUCGACGAGCGAUCAUUUCCGGAUUACUUACUUUGGAUGAAAUUCCAAUGAAAGCUAAUCGAUGUAAGCCUGCAAACAUUUGUGUUGCUACAUAAUUUUCAUUACCAAAGAUUACGACAUCUAUGGGAGAAAAGGCUGAGAAUCUAAUAGUUUAACAAAACUUUCUAUUCGAGAAGAAAGUAAUAUUAUCUAAUUAUCUAAUUAAUCAUCGUCAUGAAAAAUUUAAACUUCGAAAAUUCAAUUGAAUAUAUAUAUCAUUUUGCUAAUAAGGAGUGGUAAGGCUUGACUCGAUCGUAAAUGGUAGAAGUAAAGGCCGAAAGAAUGAACAAAGAAGUUUAUAACGAUCUUGCGAAAAGUGGCAUUGACCGAGGAUAGUAAAACAUUGAAAGCGAUUCGUUGUCGGGCCCAGCCUGUAUUGGUUGUAGAAGUCGUCACGAGAUUGUUCUUUGUGUUGUGAAAAGUGAAAUUUCAUGAUGAAAGUAGGCAAAGCAAGAGGAACUGCCAAGAGGAAGGCAAAAGAUAUGUUUUAGCAAGGACGACUAGCGAUGACCUAUCACCUUUUGAUUUUCUUCUUAAUGAAAUUAAAUCAUUUGGACUUUGAUUCAAGGCUUCUUCUUUUUCCGAACUCCGACUAUCUUCACUCCUGCGUGGUUCUCCUUUAUUCGAUGAUCAAAGUUCACCGAGACCAACCAGACUGGCAAUGGUAGAAAAA